rnacentral:rRNA from 1 species
AUUGAACGCUGGCGGCAUGCUUUACACAUGCAAGUCGAACGGCAGCGCGGGCUUCGGCCUGGCGGCGAGUGGCGAACGGGUGAGUAAUACAUCGGAACGUGCCCAGUAGUGGGGGAUAGCUCGGCGAAAGCCGGAUUAGUACCGCAUACGACCUGAGGGUGAAAGCGGGGGAUCUUCGGACCUCGCGCUAUUGGAGCGGCCGAUGGCAGAUUAGCUAGUUGGUGGGGUAAAGGCCUACCAAGGCGACGAUCUGUAGCUGGUCUGAGAGGACGACCAGCCACACUGGGACUGAGACACGGCCCAGACUCCUACGGGAGGCAGCAGUGGGGAGUUUUGGACAAUGGGCGAAAGCCUGAUCCAGCAAUGCCGCGUGUGUGAUGAAGGCCUUCGGGUUGUAAAGCACUUUUGGCGGGAACGAAAAGGACUGUGCCAAUACCACGGUUCGAUGACGGUACCCGCAGAAUAAGCACCGGCUAACUACGUG